rnacentral:rRNA from 1 species
GGUGAUGAUGGCAGAGAGGUCACACCCGUUCCCAUACCGAACACGGAAGUUAAGCUCUCUAGCGCCGAUGGUAGUUGGGACCUUGUCCCUGUGAGAGUAGGACGUUGCCAGGC